GAAGAUUGCUGUUUCUCCCAGCCAUGGCGAACGGCUUCGGGCAAGAGCUAAGAGCUCUGUGGAAUUGCUUCAGUGGAGCUGAUGCCUCCUGGAUGUUUCGGGCUACCAAGGAAGAGAAAAGCCUGAGGAUGGAGGUGGCCCUUUGCUGGCCCAUGGAGCUGUGGUCUGGGAAGAUGCCUGGUCAGUUGUUAGUCCACCUACCAAAUUAGUGAUGGUCAGAUUGUGCAGCAACCAGCAGCUCGCCUGGGAAAUCUUGAAUGUCAGGAGUCUCCACCGCAGCGGUGUUGGGAGGAUCCAGGAAUGCAGAUGGAGCACCUGAAAGGAGGUUCUUGAAUAUUGCUAGCUGGGAGAGAAGUGAAAAAUACUUUGAGUCUCAACAAACGAGUGCUGAGAAGGCAUCCAUCCAUCUGUGGCUCCUGAGUAGAGCUCUUGCAAGGAGUUACUGUUCCACAGACCAAAAUGGCUCAGGCCAAGCGCACCACGUUAGACAGUAAGGGGAAGGAGAAAUGCAUUAUGCAAACCUGGAGGGAAAAGCAUCUGUUUCCCUCUCGCCCGCUCCCAGCACAACCUGCUGCUUAAAAGGAAAAAAGACACAGCUCUGAGAAGUGCCUCUGCUUGUUGGGAAAAGAGAGAGAGACGCUUCAAGGGGAUUGGACUUUGUUCAGCGGCGGCGGCGGGGCUGUGGGGAUCUCACGCUCUUCCUCGACAGCCGGACAUAAAUCCUCCGGAAGGGAGGGGAAGGAGAAAUACUCUGAUGAGGAACCACUGUCCUAAAUCCCAAAGCAGGGAAACCAGGGCCAUGCUGGGAGCUCUUCCACGGUGGCUACAAAAGACCCGUGCCAGUUCAUGAUCCCUGCUAGGGAUGAAAGCAGCUCACUGCGGCCACUCGGCCCCGCGGCCGGAGCUUCUUCCUCCACUUGAAGGACAAAGGAAUAAAUGGGAGGUCACCUGGCGUUCAGAUGAUCUCCGUGUGGGAUUAAUUGCUCCCACAUCAUCUUCCCCAGCCAGAUGUUGCCAGGUAAGCAGCAUCGAGCUGGAGUACCCCAGGCUCCCCUCUACCAACCUUCUUCCUUUUU